rnacentral:tRNA from 1 species
AAUACUAUGACUGAUUAAAAGUGAUAAAUUGUAAAUUUAUUUAUGAAAAUAGAAUUUUCUAGUAUUA